rnacentral:rRNA from 1 species
GACGAACCGGACAAACGUUAUUCGGAAUUACUGGGCUUAAAGGGUACGUAGGCGGCGCGGCAAGUUGGGUGUGAAAUCCCUCGGCUCAACCGAGGAAUGGCGCCCAAAACUGCCGUGCUAGAGGGAGACAGAGGUGAGUGGAACUUAGGGUGGAGCGGUGAAAUGCGUUGAUAUCCUAAGGAACACCGGUGGCGAAAGCGACUCACUGGGUCUCUUCUGACGCUGAGGUACGAAAGCUAGGGGAGCGAACGGG